GUCACCUGGCCCGGACCCGGGGUACAGCUUUCGCAACUGGCGGUUCCCCUUCGUCAGUGGAGGCGUCCGGGGGACGAGCCUGUGUGAGGGCCGGUCCAAGUGCACCCUCGUGCAGAGAUGGCCCUGUCGCUGCUGUUGGCCCUGCUGUGGGGCGGGUCUCAGGCUCAGGCCCCAGGAUUCUCCCUGCAAGUGCAGAGCGUGGUGAUGGUGCAGGAGGGCCUGUGUGUGCACGUGCCCUGCACCCUCUCCUACCCCCGGAGAGGCUGGACGGAGGACACCCCCGCCCUCGGCUCCUGGUUCCUGGUCGGGACAGACACGAACAAGGGAAGACCGGUGGCCACAAACAAGCGGGAUCAAGUGCAAGGUGGCUCCGGGGGCCGGUUCCAGCUCACCGGGGAUCCCCGGAACCGCAGCUGCUCCUUGCUGAUCAGAGACGCCCAGGUGGAGGACUCAGCCCAGUACUUCUUUCGGGUGGAGAGAGGCAGUUACGUGCGGUAUAAUUUCAUGGAAAGCCCGCUCUAUCUGGAAGUGACAGCCCUGACACAGAAGCCCGAUGUCUACGUCCCAGAGACCCUGGAAGCAGGGCGCCGGGUGACACUCAUCUGUGUGUUUAACUGGGCCUUUGAGGAAUGUCCAGCCCCUACUUUCUCCUGGAUGGGGGCCGCCGUCACCACCCCAGGGCCCGGACGCAAAUCCUCCUACUUCUCAGUGCUUUCUCUCACACCGAGACCCCAGGACCACGGCACCCACCUCACGUGCCGGGUAGACUUCUCCAGAAAGGGCGUGAGCACAGAGACAACCGUUCGACUUAACGUCACCCAUGUCCCCAAAGACCUAGUCAUCAGCGUUUCCAGAGCCAAGGCAUCAGCCCCGGAGCCCCAGGGAGACAGCCCACAUCUGCAAGUCCAGAAAGGCCAGUUCCUGCAGCUGGUCUGUGCUUCUGAGAGCCAGUCCCCUGCCACCCUGAGCUGGGCCCUGGAGGACAGAAUCCUCUCUUGGUCUCACCCCUGGACCCCCGGCCCCCUGGCUCUGGUGCUGACCCGGGUGAUGCCUGGGGAUUCAGGCUGCUACACCUGCCGAGCGGAGAACGGGCGUGGCUCCCAGAGCCGCACCCUGAACCUCUCCGUGCAGUAUGCCCCAGAGAACCUGAGAGUGAUGGCCCUACAAGCAAACAGGACAGUUCUGGAAAACCUUGGGAAUGGCACGUCCCUCCCAGCCCUGGAGGGCCAAAGCUUGCGUCUGCUCUGUGUCGCCCACAGCAACCCCCCAGCCCAGCUGAGCUGGGCGCUGCGGGGACAGACUCUGAGCCCCUCCCAGCCCGCAGACCCCGGGAUCCUGGAGCUGCCUCAGAUACAAACGGAGCAUGAAGGAGUCCUCACCUGCCGAGCUCAGAACUCGCUGGGCUCCCAGCACGUCUCCCUGCGUCUCUCUGUGGUCUGCCCCCCGCGGCUGCUCGGCCCCUCCUGCUCCUGGGAGGGCGAGGGGCUGGGCUGCACCUGCUCCGCCCGAGCCCGGCCGGCCCCCACCCUGCGCUGGCGGCUGGGGGAGGGGCUGCUGGAGGGGAACCACAGCGACGCCUCCUUGACCGUCACCUCCAGCUCCGAGGGGCCCUGGGCCAACAGCUCCCUAAGCCUCAGGGGGCCGCUGGGCUCUGGCCUCAGACUCAGCUGCGAGGCCCGGAAUGCACAUGGGGAACAGAGCGCCGCGGUCCUGCUGUUGCCAGAUAAGAAGGGACCCCUCUCAAAGGCGUUGGGUAGCGGAAUAUUUCUGGGAAUGGGCAUCACGACGCUCCUUUUCCUCUGCCUCAUCCUGGUCACGAAGACUCUGAGGAAGAAACAGGCCCAGGCAGGGACUCCGGCCCAGGCAGGGGCUCCGGCCCAGGCAGGGGCUCCGCCGAAGCCCAAGGCCACGCGGAGAAGCACGAUCCUGGACUACAUCAACGUGGUCCCCAAUCCUGGUCCCCUGGCUCGCAAUCGCAAUCGGAACCAGAACCAGAACCGGAAGGCCACCCCGAGCAGUCCUGCCCAGGCCUCUCCUCCAGGCGCUCCCUCCCAGGAAUGUAAGAAAAACCAGAAGGAGCUAUAUGCUGCUCCCCACACUUAUCCAGGACCCAGAUCAUCCACGCCAGCCUCAGAAUCAGAGAGUAACCAAGAGAAUCUCCAUUAUGCUGCCCUCACCUUCUCGGGCCUCAGACCCUGGGACACCUGGGAGUCCAAGGACACAGGCCCGGAGUACGAGGACAUCAAGUUUCACUGACGGUCUCCCGGGCUGCAGGGCUGGGAUCCGGGGUAGGCGGAAUGGAGAGGAAGAGGAACAGAAGCAGAUGUUCAGAGUGAGUUCAACAGCAGCCACCGCAAAGAUGUCCUGCUAGGCGACAAGACAGGAAGUCCCUCAGGGCAAGGACACCACGUGGAGACUG